UGUGGCCAGAGCAGUUUCCGGAGGACGUGACUGUGGUAACCAUCACACCAGAAUAUCCAGGUUCACGCCACACCGGAUUAGUCAGCGGACUGCAGAAAUUCACUUGGUACUACGGCUCCACCCUCUGCUUCACAACACCUGGAGAUGGCCCCCGCAGCCCACCUGCCCUGGUGCAGACACACCAGGACGCCCCUGGACCUGUUCGCCAACUGAGCUUCACUGAAAUCUUGGACACCUCACUCAGAGUCAGCUGGACAGAGCCCGAAGACAAGAAUGGCAUCAUUACUGGCUAUGUGUUGUGGUGGGAAGUGUCUGGCGUAGAGUCGAGUCGUGAGGAACAUUCCCUGUCCAACUCCACCCUGCAGUAUCAGCUGACCGGCCUCACCUCCACCACCGCAUACACAAUACAGGUGGCAGCACUCACCACUGCAGGAAGGGGCUUGGACAUAUCUUCCACCAUCUCCACUGGAGUCC